GAUGCGCACGCCUACGGGUCUUGAAUGUGUUAGAUUCCCCACAUAUUACUUCCGAUUUAUUUUCCUUACUAAAUAGUUCUUUGAAGAAGCUUAAGGAAACCAAUCGUGAAAAAAUUUCAAUAUAUUUAGAUGAGUCUUCUGUGGAUUGGAAAGGAAAUUCCAGCUUUAAACUCGACAACAUUGAAAUCAGAAAAGGCUCUCUAAAGGAAGUUCCUAUUUUAACAAAAAGCAGCUCAAUAUUCGACGCCGAUAGCUUUUAAUAUCAAUCAAAUUAAUUCAUUCAUACCUGCAGCCAGCCCAUCUCACAGUGAAUUAUUUUAGAAGUAUGAACCAACAUUAAAUUACGCAAUAAACUCAUAGGUUUUUUUUAUGCCAAGACCUUAGAAACCCCCAGACACUACCAGAAAGCAAGACACAAGCUCUUGGCAUAGAAAAUUCAAUUCAAUUCAAGGGACCGGGACCAGGCCAUGGCAGAAACGGAAACUUGAAAGACCAACUGCCGGCCGAGGAUGCAGGAUGAGAAGCCGAAGACCCUUGAAGAAAAGCAACAACCCAGAAACUAUAGCCCAACACGUUUCAAAAACUAAAUAUCUUAAGAAUAAUGUAAGAAAAAUGCGCCAAAUAAAUAAUUUUUGUAACGAAA